rfam:Hordeum vulgare subsp. vulgare, WGS project CAJW01000000 data, contig: morex_contig_1412383
UCUUGGAUUUAUGAAAUGAAAGACAAAGACGAAGACGAACAACUGAACUGCGAAGCGAAAGCAUUUGCAUUUGCCAAGGAUGUUUUCAUUAAUCAAGAACGAAAGUUGGGGGCUCGAAGACGAUCAGAUACCGUCCUAGUCUCAACCAUAAACGAUGCCGACAACAGAUCGGCGGAUGUUGCUUAUAGGACUCUGCCGGCACCUUAUGAGAAAUCAAAGUCUUUGGG